rnacentral:tRNA from 1 species
GGUGCCUUAGCUCAGUUGGUAGAGCAAUGGAUUGAAAAUCCAUGUGUCCCCAGUUCAAAUCUGGGAGGCACCA